GCACGCUGUGGUGUUUGCACUUAACCAGCUAUGCCACCGCCUGACCUCCAUGAAUAAAUAUUUUUAAUUGGAUCUCUGGGUAAUUUGCCCCAGGUCUGUAAGCACAGCCUGCUCCCAAACAGCUGAGGUGCAAAGCUCAGGAGCUCAGCCACACUUGGCUCCGAUGCAGGGCAAGGCAGGUAUCUGAUCAAACUGACAGUCCGUCCUCCUUUCUGCUCCCAGCACCGCCCGCCCUCUCUGGUGUUGGAAAGGCAUGGCUCCAUUUUCCAAUUGUGAAGAGGAAAACAGGAGAAAGUUUUAAAGCACUGGGGAUAGUGAGGUAUAUCAAUAAGUAGACAGAUGGAUACCACACCACAGUGGUCCGGGAGGUGGCACAGUGGAUGAAGCACUGGAUGGAUUCUCAACCAUCAGAUCCCGAGUUCAAUCACCUGCAGCACAUGUACCAGAGUGAUGUCUGCUUCUUCCUCUCUCUCUCUACCUAUAUUUCUCAUGAAUAAAUAAAUAAUUUUUUUAA